GGGUUAUUGAUCGAUGCCAGAACACAAGGUGGAGUACAUCGGCAGACACACACGUCCUACGGUACGUUAUAGCUGAUGCUUUUAUCCACUACUCAGUGAAGACAACACAAUGAUUCCUAAAGCCAACGGUAAGGAGGUCAAAGGACAACAGCGCUGGAACCGGAAGAGGGAAGCAGCCUUCCAGAUGACUGAUUGAAUGGUCCCAGAGCCAUAAUAGUGCCAUUGAUCUCACUUAGGUGUCCACAGGUGAAAGGAGGAGGAAUAUAAUGAGUCUUCUUCUAGGAAGAAGAACUUCAGGGUUGCAAAUGAAUGAAACCAACUGCUCUACAUCUCUGCAGGAUUUCCUCAGCCAGUUCUUAUAGUCCAGCUCCUUGUUCGAGUCGUUGUCAAGGUCAUGCCUGCCGUUGCAGAAGACCCAGCUGGUCUGUUUGCAGAGGUUAAGGUUCUUUAUCACGGAGUCAGUCUGUCCUUGAUAUUGUGAUGGGUUAUGCAGAUUGGCCAUCCUUGACUCUCUGUAGGAAUGACACACUCCACCUGGAGCGGUGGAGUUAGGGUCAAAGUCUAACACACAGAACAGUUUCAGCUUACUCAAAAACUGCAGGUACUGCACUUGUCCUGGUCUGCUCUUGUUCACAACAACAACAAAUCUGUUAUAAGUGUCCAGCAGGUUCCCACCACACGUUAAUAAAUUCUUUAGUUUGUCA